UACGUAGGGUGCAAGCGUUGUCCGGAAUUAUUGGGCGUAAAGAGCUCGUAGGCGGUCUGUCGCGUCUGCUGUGAAAACCUGGGGCUUAACCCCGGGCCUGCAGUGGGUACGGGCAGACUAGAGUGUGGUAGGGGAGACUGGAAUUCCUGGUGUAGCGGUGAAAUGCGCAGAUAUCAGGAGGAACACCGGUGGCGAAGGCGGGUCUCUGGGCCGAAAUUGACGCUGAGGAGCGAAAGCGUGGGGAGCAAACAGG
rnacentral:rRNA from 1 species